GGCUCCCACGGAGCAGAGACUCAAAACAUCGGAGAAGGGGCUGCCACCAAGCUGCUGCUGCUGCUGUCCCCAAGCUUAGAGGAGGGCUCCCGCAGGGCUGGGACUCACUGAGAAGGGGUGGUGGCCGACUGCUGCUGGUGUCUCCAAGGAGGCAUGAUGAAGCUAGUUCUGCAAGUGUUUGAAAACUGCAGACUGGAUUCAACUGCUGCUGCUAGAAGGAAGUGUCUUCUGCUGGCGUGAAGAAGCGAGGCAGAGCUCCAACUGCCGGCCAUGUGAGGGAGGUCACAUCCAGACAGUCAAACAACAGGAAGACGGCAGCCUCAUGAGUGACCCCAAGCGAGACCACCCAAAGAACUGUCCAACUGAACCCAGCCCAAUCCACUGACCCACACAGUCAUUUGCAAAUAAAAUGGUUGUUGUUUUAAGCCA